UAUUGUAACAAAAAAGGUGCCAGGGCUGUCGCUGACCCUCAAAGGUCGUGCACGUCCGAAGUGCUUUUUUAACACAAUCCAUCUCACCCCUUUUGUGCAUCACCGCGUGGGUUUCGUCCUUUGCGGGAAGGACCUGCGUUUUUAUCAUAAAACUCGAUACAGUGUAGAAUGUUUAUUUUUGCGAUCACACGCAAUCAAUACAACUUUCAACAACGGAUCUCUUGGCUCUCGCAUCGAUGAAGAACGCAGCGAAAUGCGAUACGUAAUGUGAAUUGCAGAAUUCAGUGAAUCAUCGAAUCUUUGAACGCACCUUGCGCCCCUUGGCAUUCCGAGGGGCACACCCGUUUGAGUGUCGUGAAAUUCUCAAAACCCUUUUCUUUGAAAAGGAUUUUUGGACUUGGAGGUUCAAUGCUUGCUUUUGGUUUUGAAAGUGAGCUCCUCUUAAAUGAAUUAGUGGGGUCUGCUUUGCUGGUCCUUAACGUGAUAAGGUGUUUCUACGUUUUGGAUUUGGCAUUGUCCUUUUAGAUGUCCGCUCCCAACUGUCUUUUAUGGACGACGGAUGGUGCUUCAGUCGAUCGCCAUUUAUUUACACUGGCGGGAGGCUGGACCCACAAAAAAAAACCCU
rnacentral:misc_RNA from 1 species